UCGAACGGAGUUAUGCAGAGGAAGUUUUCGGAUGGAAUCGGCGUAACUUAGUGGCGGACGGGUGAGUAACGCGUGGGAAACCUGCCCUGUACCGGGGGAUAACACUUAGAAAUAGGUGCUAAUACCGCAUAAGCGCACAGCUUCACAUGAGGCAGUGUGAAAAACUCCGGUGGUACAGGAUGGUCCCGCGUCUGAUUAGCCAGUUGGCAGGGUAACGGCCUACCAAAGCGACGAUCAGUAGCCGGCCUGAGAGGGUGAACGGCCACAUUGGGACUGAGACACGGCCCAAACUCCUACGGGAGGCAGCAGUGGGGAAUAUUGCACAAUGGGGGAAACCCUGAUGCAGCGACGCCGCGUGAGUGAAGAAGUAUUUCGGUAUGUAAAGCUCUAUCAGCAGGGAAGAAAAUGACGGUACCUGACUAAGAAGCCCCGGCUAACUACGUGCCAGCAGCCGCGGUAAUACGUAGGGGGCAAGCGUUAUCCGGAUUUACUGGGUGUAAAGGGAGCGUAGACGGCAUGACAAGCCAGAUGUGAAAACCCAGGGCUCAACCCUGGGACUGCAUUUGGAACUGCCAGGCUGGAGUGCAGGAGAGGUAAGCGGAAUUCCUAGUGUAGCGGUGAAAUGCGUAGAUAUUAGGAGGAACACCAGUG
rnacentral:rRNA from 1 species